rnacentral:hammerhead_ribozyme from 1 species
AUCCAGCUGACGAGUCCCAAACAGGAUGAAACGCGUGUCCUGGAU